GACCAGUAGGAGGAGUCCCCUGGGAUUCAGUCUUAGAGGGUAAAGGGGUCCAAGACAACUGGUUGCUCUUCAAGAAGGUAGUCUUACAGGCGCAGGAGCGGGCUGUCCCCCUGAGCUGCAAGAUGAGCCGGCGGGGAAGGAGACCGGCGUGGAUGAAUAGGGAACUAUUCUUGAGGCUCCGGGAGAAAAAGAGAAUCUACCUCCUGUGGAAGAAGAGAUGGCAACUCAGAAAGAGUACAGAGAAGUUGUUAAGAUGUGCAGGGAGAAAAUCAGAAAGGCGAAAGCCCAGCUCGAACUCAACCUGGCCGCUGGGAUAAAAGGAAACAAGAAAUCCUUUUACAAAUAUAUCAACAGUAAGAGGAGGACUAAGGAGAAUCUCCAUUCUUUACUGGAUGAGGCUGGGAAUGUGACUACUGACGAUAAGGAAAAGGCAGAGGUCCUGAAUGCCUUCUUUACGUCUGUCUUUAAAGGUCAGACCAGUUAUCCUCAGGAUACUCCACUUUUUGAACUGGUAGUCUCGGCUGGGAAGCAGAUUAAACCACCCACAAUUCAGAAGGAAACAGUCAGAGACCUGCUACUCCAACUGGACUGUCACAAGUCCAUGGGGCCGGAUGAGAUUCACCCGAGAGUGCUGAGGGAACUGGCGGAGGUGAUAGCCGAGCCGCUUUCCAUCAUCUAUCAGUGCUCCUUGUUGACUGGUGAAGUACCAGAAGACUGGAGUCUUGCCAGUGUGACUCCCAUCUACAAGAAGGGCUGUAAGGAGGACCCGGGGAACUACAGGCCUGUUAGCCUGACCUCGGUGCCAGGGAAGGUUAUGGAGCAGAUUGUCUUGAGGGAGAUCACGUGGCAAGUGCGGGACAACCGGGGGAUCAGGUCUAGCCAGCAUGGGUUCACGAAGGGUAGGUCUUGCUUGACCAAUCUACCCUCCUUCUAUGAUCUAGUGACCCGCCUGGUGGAUGAGGGAAAGGCUGUUGAUGUAGUCUACCUAGACUUCAGCAAGGCCUUUGACACUGUCUCCCACAGUAUUCUCCUGCAGAAGCUGGCAGUCGUUGGCUUGGACAGGUACACUCUUGGCUGGGUAAGGAACUGGCUGGAGUGCCGGGCCCAGAGAGUGGUGGUCAACGGAGCUAAAU
rnacentral:lncRNA from 1 species